UACGGAGGGUGCAAGCGUUAAUCGGAAUUACUGGGCGUAAAGCGCACGCAGGCGGUUGGAUAAGUUAGAUGUGAAAGCCCCGGGCUCAACCUGGGAAUUGCAUUUAAAACUGUCCAGCUAGAGUCUUGUAGAGGGGGGUAGAAUUCCAGGUGUAGCGGUGAAAUGCGUAGAGAUCUGGAGGAAUACCGGUGGCGAAGGCGGCCCCCUGGACAAAGACUGACGCUCAGGUGCGAAAGCGUGGGGAGCAAACAGGAUUAGAUACCCUGGUAGUCCACGCCGUAAACGAUGUCGAUUUGGAGGCUGUGUCCUUGAGACGUGGCUUCCGGAGCUAACGCGUUAAAUCGACCGCCUGGGGAGUACGGCCGCAAGGUUAAA
rnacentral:rRNA from 2 species